rnacentral:lncRNA from 1 species
UUAAUUAAAUUGAAUGUUUUCCUUAAAAAACUUGCUCGUUCAUACCAGGGACCCUGACUGGGAGCCACAAACCCCCGGCAUAAAUUUUCAGAGAUUUUUUAUGAAAACCAUUCUCAUCCCUGUAUUUAGUAUGAAGUGCAUACUGUUUUAAUGACUUUAAUAACUUUCACACAAGUAAGAGAGAAGUGCACAUAAUAUAUUUUAACAGGGUGAUGAAUCCAUGAUCUGCUGCAUCCACACCAAGAUGACCAGACUCACACCAUUGGACAACCAGAUUGCUUGGAAAGUUGAUAGGGCAUUCAUAACUAUGACUGUUAUCCAUUAUACAUAAGAUGUCACCAAGGUGUUCUUCCAGGUUUUAGGCAACCAGAAGGACACUAGAUGUUAGCUGGCUUGUUAGACAAUAGAUCUACCUAGUGAUGUGUUGGACUGUCUUUGGAUUCAGAUAAUUUCAAGCAGAAUCUUGAUCUGCAGUGACGUGUUGGACUGUCUUUGGAUUCAGUUAACAGGCUGUUUGACCGGUUCAUCAACAAUCCUUGAAUGACAGGAGAUGUCUGGUUGAUAGAUGUGAAAAAUAUCUGCUUCCUCUUGAGAUGUCAUCUUGAGACCUACAGUGUAUCUAAUGGGAAAAUGAAGCUCCACACUGAAAAGGAGAGGAGUCAUUAAGGAAAUAAGAUGAUUCUACUUCUUUCUGCAUUACCAAAAAGAAGUAUUAGUCCACAGUGAUCUUUCAGUGAUAAUCCACAGUGAUCUUUCAGUGCUGAUCUACAGUGAUCUUCCAGUGCUGAUCCACAGUGAUCUUUCAGUGCUGAUUCACAAUGAGCUUUCAGUACUGAUCCACAGUGAUAAUUCAGCGCUGAUCCACAGAGAUCUUACAGUGCUGAUCUACAAUGAUCUUCCAGUGCUGAUCCACAGUGAUCUUUCAGUGCUGAUCUACAAAGAUCUUCCAGUGCUGAUCCACAGUGAUCUUUCAGUGCUGAUCCACAGUGAUCUUUCAGUGCUGAUCUACAAUGAUCUUUCAGUGCUGAUCCACAGUGAUCUUUCAGUGCUGAUCCACAGUGAUCUUUCAGUGCUAAUCCACAGUGAUCUUUCAGUGCUGAUCCGCAAUUUAAUGAUCUUUCAGUGCUGAUUCACAAUAAUAUUUCAGUGCUAAUCCCCAGUGAUAUUUCAGUGCUGAACCAUAAUGAUCUUUCAGUGCUGAUACACAGUGAUAGUUCAGUGCUGAUCCCUGGUGAUAUUUCAGUGCUGAUUCACAGUGAUCUUUCAGUGCUGAUCCACAGUGAUCUUUCAGUGCCGAUCCACCAUUAUAUUUCAGUGCUGAUCCACAGUGAUCUUUCAGUGCUGAUCCACAGUGAUCUUUCAGUGCCGAUCCACCAUUAUAUUUCAGUGCUGCCUCACAGUGUUGUUUCAGUACUUAUCAGACAAUGAGCUUUGAGUGUGCCAAGGAUGAUACUGGCUGACAGCAAAAUCAACAGAAUCCUUGAAACUAUUCUAAACUUGAUGUCUGUGAACAUGUACAAUCAUGAAUUAUUACAUGUUUUUCAGUGAAUUAUCAAAAUAUUAAAAUGAAAUACAUCUGGUAUAUUUACAGUAAAAAAUACCAAAUACAUUUGCCACUGGGUAAGAAACUAUAAA